GACGAACGCUGGCGGCGUGCUUAACACAUGCAAGUCGAACGGAAAGGUCCUGCUUUUGUGGGCUGCUCGAGUGACGAACGGGUGAGUAACACGUGAGUAACGUGCCCCUCACUUUGGGGUAACUUCAUGAAACUGGGGCUAAUACCGGAUAGGAGUUCCUGCUGCAUGGUGGGCGUGGGAUAGUUUCGGCGGUUGGGGAUGGACUAGCGGCCUAUCAGCUUGUUGGUUGGGUAGUGGGUUACCAAGGCUUUGAGGGGUAGCCGGGCUGAGAGGAUCACCGGACAAGUCGGGAUUGAGAUAAGGCACAGCCUCGUCUGGGACGCAGGAGAGGAGAAGAUUGCACUAUGGGCGGAAGGCAGAUGUAGUCAAGCCACGUGGGGGAUGAGAGGCAUCGGGUUGUAAACUGCUUUCGCCUGUCCCGAGGCGUGAGUGACGGUAAUGGGUAAAGAAGCACCGGCUAACUACGUG
rnacentral:rRNA from 1 species